GGGGGGGGGGGGGGGGGGGGGUGGGGGGGGGGGGGGGGGGGGGGGGAGGGGGGGGGUGGGUGUCUGAGGUUAGCGGCGGGCGGGGGAGGAGGGCGUUGAUAAGCUACAUAUGAGACUGGGAUAGCUUCGGGGAACCGGAGGUAGUACCGGGUCCUCUUUUGACCCGCAUGGUUCACAAGUGGUAGCCGGUCUUGCUGUGCCUUAUAGAUGGAGACGCGCUGCAUUUGCUAGUUUGUAAGGUAACGGCUUACAAAGGUAACGAUGCAUAGCCGACCUGAGAGGGUGAUCGGCCACACUGGAACUGAGACACGGUCCAGACUCCUACGGUAGGCAGCAGUAGGGAAUCUUCCGCAAUGGGCGAAAGCCUGACGGAGCAACGCCGCGUGAGUGAUGAAGGUCUUCGGAUCGUAAAACUCUGUUAUGAGGGAAGAACAUAUGUGUAAUUAACUGUGCACAUCUUGACGGUACCUAAGCAGAAAGCCACGGCUAACUACGUG
rnacentral:rRNA from 1 species